AAGCCCCGGCUAACUUCGUGCCAGCAGCCGCGGUAAUACGAGGGGGGCAAGCGUUGUUCGGAAUUAUUGGGCGUAAAGGGUGCGUAGGCGGUUUGACAAGUCUUGUGUGAAAUCUAUGGGCUCAACCCAUAGUCUGCACAGGAAACUGUCGGGCUUGAGUAUGGGAGAGGUGAGUGGAAUUUCCGGUGUAGCGGUGAAAUGCGUAGAUAUCGGAAGGAACACCUGUGGCGAAAGCGGCUCACUGGACCAUAACUGACGCUGAUGCACGAAAGCUAGGGGAGCAAACAGGAUUAGAUACCCUGGUAGUCCACGCCGUAAACGAUGUCGACUAGCCGUUGGGCUCCUUGAGAGCUUUGUGGCGCAGUUAACGCGAUAAGUCGACCGCCUGGGGAGUACGGCCGCAAGGUUAAAACUCAAAUGAAUUGACGGGGGCCCGCACAAGCGGUGGAGCAUGUGGUUUAAUUCGAAGCAACGCGCAGAACCUUACCAA
rnacentral:rRNA from 1 species